CCUGGCAAAGAGAUUUGCAGAGUGUCGGGUGACCGGCAAAGAGAUCUGCAAAAUGUCAGUUGAAGACGACGGGAGGGCCGCAGAGGUAACAACGACUGGAGUAUAACAUGCAGGAGAUCAUCAUUUGGCAAAGUUCUGGCAAAGAGAUUUGCAGAGUGUCGGGUGACCGGCAAAGAGAUCUGCAAAGUGUCAGUUGAAGACGACGGGAGGGGUCGCAGAGGAAUUAGUGACUGGAGAAUAGAAUGCAGGAGUGGGUGAUCAAUGAAUAGCUGCCCUAUUAGGAGAUGCGGUAAAGAUGCCGGCUGUCGGGUUUAUGGCAGUCAGAAUACUGACACUGGGAUCCCGACACUCUUCAGAAUCCCGACGUUGGAACUCCGAAUGGGCAAGGAUACCGACGCCCGUAUCCCCACGAUCAUAGGUUUAGGGCUGG